AAAUUGAGAGUUUGAUCCUGGCUCAGGAUGAACGCUGGCGGCGUGCCUAAUACAUGCAAGUCGAACGCUUUGUGGUUCAACUAAUUUGAAGAGCUUGCUCAGAUAUGACGAUGGACAUUGCAAAGAGUGGCGAACGGGUGAGUAACACGUGGGAAACCUACCUCUUAGCAGGGGAUAACAUUUGGAAACAGAUGCUAAUACCGUAUAACAAUGACAACCGCAUGGUUGUUAUUUAAAAGAUGGUUCUGCUAUCACUAAGAGAUGGUCCCGCGGUGCAUUAGCUAGUUGGUAAGGUAAUGGCUUACCAAGGCGAUGAUGCAUAGCCGAGUUGAGAGACUGAUCGGCCACAAUGGGACUGAGACACGGCCCAUACUCCUACGGGAGGCAGCAGUAGGGAAUCUUCCACAAUGGGCGAAAGCCUGAUGGAGCAACGCCGCGUGUGUGAUGAAGGGUUUCGGCUCGUAAAACACUGUUGUAAGAGAAGAAUGACAUUGAGAGUAACUGUUCAAUGUGUGACGGUAUCUUACCAGAAAGGAACGGCUAAAUACGUGCCAGCAGCCGCGGUAAUACGUAUGUUCCAAGCGUUAUCCGGAUUUAUUGGGCGUAAAGCGAGCGCAGACGGUUAUUUAAGUCUGAAGUGAAAGCCCUCAGCUCAACUGAGGAAUUGCUUUGGAAACUGGAUGACUUGAGUGCAGUAGAGGAAAGUGGAACUCCAUGUGUAGCGGUGAAAUGCGUAGAUAUAUGGAAGAACACCAGUGGCGAAGGCGGCUUUCUGGACUGUAACUGACGUUGAGGCUCGAAAGUGUGGGUAGCAAACAGGAUUAGAUACCCUGGUAGUCCACACCGUAAACGAUGAGUGCUAGGUGUUUGAGGGUUUCCGCCCUUAAGUGCCGCAGCUAACGCAUUAAGCACUCCGCCUGGGGAGUACGACCGCAAGGUUGAAACUCAAAGGAAUUGACGGGGACCCGCACAAGCGGUGGAGCAUGUGGUUUAAUUCGAAGCAACGCGAAGAACCUUACCAGGUCUUGACAUCCCUUGACAACUCCAGAGAUGGAGCGUUCCCUUCGGGGACAAGGUGACAGGUGGUGCAUGGUUGUCGUCAGCUCGUGUCGUGAGAUGUUGGGUUAAGUCCCGCAACGAGCGCAACCCUUAUUACUAGUUGCCAGCAUUCAGUUGGGCACUCUAGUGAGACUGCCGGUGACAAACCGGAGGAAGGUGGGGAUGACGUCAAAUCAUCAUGCCCCUUAUGACCUGGGCUACACACGUGCUACAAUGGCGUAUACAACGAGUUGCCAACCCGCGAGGGUGAGCUAAUCUCUUAAAGUACGUCUCAGUUCGGAUUGUAGGCUGCAACUCGCCUACAUGAAGUCGGAAUCGCUAGUAAUCGCGGAUCAGCACGCCGCGGUGAAUACGUUCCCGGGUCUUGUACACACCGCCCGUCACACCAUGAGAGUUUGUAACACCCAAAGCCGGUGGGGUAACCUUCGGGAGCCAGCCGUCUAAGGUGGGACAGAUGAUUAGGGUGAAGUCGUAACAAGGUAGCCGUAGGAGAACCUGCGGCUGGAUCACCUCCUUUCUAAGGAA
rnacentral:rRNA from 1 species